rnacentral:rRNA from 1 species
GAUGAACGCUGGCGGCGUGCCUAACACAUGCAAGUCGAACGAAGCACCUUUUAAGAUUCUUCGGAUGAUUGAUUGGUGACUGAGUGGCGGACGGGUGAGUAACGCGUGGGUAACCUGCCCUGUACAGGGGGAUAACAGUUGGAAACGGCUGCUAAUACCGCAUAAGCGCACGAGAGGACAUCCUCUUGUGUGAAAAACUCCGGUGGUACAGGAUGGGCCCGCGUCUGAUUAGCUGGUUGGCAGGGUAACGGCCUACCAAGGCGACGAUCAGUAGCCGGUCUGAGAGGAUGAACGGCCACAUUGGAACUGAGACACGGUCCAAACUCCUACGGGAGGCAGCAGUGGGGAAUAUUGCACAAUGGGGGAAACCCUGAUGCAGCAACGCCGCGUGAGUGAAGAAGUAUUUCGGUAUGUAAAGCUCUAUCAGCAGGGAAGAUAAUGACGGUACCUGACUAAGAAGCUCCGGCUAAAUACGUGCCAGCAGCCGCAGUAAAAC